GAUCCUGGCUCAGGACGAACGCUGGCGGCGUGCUUAACACAUGCAAGUCGAACGAGAAUCUACUGAAAGAGUUUUCGGACAAUGGAAGUGGAGGAAAGUGGCGGACGGGUGAGUAACGCGUGAGGAACCUGCCUUGAAGAGGGGGACAACAGUUGGAAACGACUGCUAAUACCGCAUGAUGCAUAAGGGUCGCAUGAUUCUUUAUGCCAAAGAUUUAUCGCUUCAAGAUGGCCUCGCGU
rnacentral:rRNA from 1 species